UCGCCUGGGCUUCGAUUGCCCGCGCCGGCCGCCCGAGGUUGCUUUCCGCCCGGCGGCGGAGCGCUGACUUGGCGGGACGGUGAGCGCCGGCGGAGCCGGGCUGAGGCCGCCGCUGCCGGGAAGCUGGGCGGGGAGACGGCCGAGAUGGUGGAGGACGGCAGCGAGGAAGAGGAGGCGGAGGGAGAGAGAGGGGAGAUGCUGGGAGCUCCGCAGCACAACGGCUUCCUCCCCGGCAAGGAAGCGGAGAACGGCGGCCCCAGAGGAUGCGCGGCGGGCGGCGGGCGGGCGGAGACGCGGCUUUCGCGGCGGCGGCUGGCGGUGCUGGCCGUGUUCAGCUGCUACUCGCUGGUGAACGCUUUCCAGUGGAUCCAGUACAGCAUCCUCAGCAACGUCUUCGUCCACUUCUACGGCGUGUCCUUCACGGAGAUAGACUGGCUCUCCAUGGUGUACAUGGUGGCCUACGUGCCGCUCAUCCUGCCCGCCUCCUGGCUGCUGGACGCGCGCGGCCUGCGCCUCACGGCGCUGCUGGGCGCGGGGCUCAACGCGCUGGGCGCGUGGCUCAAGUGCGCCAGCCUGGCGCCCGGCCGCUACGCGCUCACCAUGGCGGCGCAGGCCGUGUGCGCCGUCGCGCAGGUCUUCAUCCUGGGGCUGCCCUCCCGCAUCGCCUCCGUCUGGUUCGGCCCCGCCGAGGUCUCCACCGCCUGCUCCGUGGCCGUGCUGGGCAACCAGCUUGGCACUGCCAUUGGCUUUUUGUUGCCACCUGUCCUGGUUCCAAAUACCCCUGAUGAUAUUGAUCUAAUGGCACAUAAUAUAAGCAUAAUGUUCUAUGGAACAGCAAUAGUAUCCACACUUUUGUUCUUCUUAACAGGAGUUGUGUUUGAAGAGAAGCCCAAAUACCCUCCCAGUCACUCUCAAGCACUCCUGCAAGCUAUGCCUCCUGAGGAUUACUCCUACAAGCAGUCAAUUAUUAAUUUGAUCAAAAAUGUCCCAUUUGUACUUCUGCUGAUCAGCUAUGGAAUUAUGACUGGAACAUUUUAUUCUGUUUCCACAUUACUGAACCAGAUGAUAGUAACUCAUUAUGAGGGAGAAGAAGUGAACGCUGGGAGAAUUGGCUUGACACUGGUGGUGGCAGGAAUGGUGGGUUCGAUUAUUUGUGGUUUGUGGCUGGAUUACACUAAAACGUACAAGCAAACUACUUUGAUUGUUUACAUUCUCUCCUUCAUUGGGAUGGUGGUAUUCACCUUCACGCUGGACCUCGGAUACCUUAUAGUGGUGUUUGUGACUGGAGGAGUGCUUGGAUUCUUCAUGACCGGCUAUCUCCCACUCGGGUUUGAAUUUGCAGUGGAAAUUACAUAUCCAGAAUCUGAAGGCACUUCCUCAGGACUCCUCAAUGCAUCAGCACAGAUAUUUGGAAUUGUCUUUACGCUUGUUCAAGGAAAGCUUACAACAGACUACAGUCCUCGUGCAGGAAACCUCUUUCUUUGUGCUUGGCUGUUUGUGGGCAUUAUCUUAACAGCCUUAAUAAAAUCAGAUCUGCGAAGACAUAAUGUGAAUUCAGGGAUUAUGAAUAUGGAUGUUAAAGCUGUACCAGUUGACAAUCCAGUAGAACGUGAAACUUGUACUGCAUUAAAAAUUCAGUCAGAUUUGUAAACCCGAAAGAAGAUGGCUUAGAAACGCACAAUUUUGGUUGAAUGCUGAACAAAAUUAGUGUAAUCACUGGAUUUAUGUGUAUGAGUAGUAAAAUGUGUUUGCUGAUUUUGGUUACAGUUGUGUGGUGGGAGCUAGGAAGAUGCUGACUUCAUUUUGCCUGAGAUAUAAACGAUAGGACUUUGUAUGGAAUAUUUAUUGGAACAGAUUACGAGUUUUGCUGUUUCGUUAAUGAAUCACAGAAUCGUGGGGGUUGGAAGGGACUUCUGGGGAUCAUCAAGUCCAACCCCAAAUGCUCUCCAUUUUGGGAAGAAGUGUACAUUCCAAAUGUGUAGUACCAAAAUGUGUGUUUGGAAUCCUGAGGUACAAUCAUGAUCAGAAGUAUCUUCUCCCCAGGAAAUCGAAAAUUAAUUAAUUACUUGUGCAGUCCUUUCUAGUGCUUUUACCAAGUCAGAGUAGGUAGCUGCAUGACUGGAGGGUAUUCAUACUUUUUUUAAUGUCUCUGAUGUAAGACAGUAUUUCUUUCUGGGAAACUGUCUAUAGCACAAUUCUGAAAAUGAGAUAACUGCAAUUAUGCGUGUUGAGUUUCUUUUGCCUUGAAACUUCUUGGUAGAUAGUGGAAGAUGAAAGAAAAUGCUUUUUUUGUAAGUUCAUCAAGCAUUUCUGGGGAGAUUUAAAGAAUUUCUUACUAGGUAUGUUGAAGAAAAUACAUUUCUUAUUAAAUAGAAAGAAAAGAAGAAGAAAGAUCAUUGAUUUAUCUGUCUAUCUAUGGUGAAGUAUUCACAGGCAAUGAAAUAUGAUUGCACAGGUUGCCUCCUGAAUAUUUUGAGUGCUUUCUCAGUUCAAAUGAGAGGAACACGUGUUUACAAAGAGAUGGUGCCUUUACAAAGUAAAGAAAAUCCUUGUCUCAUCUUGAGUUUGACCAGUGCUGCUGAAGACAUUCCAUUUUGCUUGUUAAACCUCCUGAAUAUUUGUGGAGUAUCAGAAAAUGUGUUCUACCUGUUGUAUUGUUUUUUUCCCCUCCCUUUAUUUCUCUGUGUUAUGUUGUAUCAUUUGUCUCCUGUAAAAUUUUUGUGUUCGCUGUAUAACUUAGCGGUAAAUAAUGUCUUGUUCCUCACAGUUAAAAGCUGUAAGGGUGACUGAAAGGAAAAUAGUGAUGUUUCUCUUUGUCUGAUGAAAUACUUGCUGUUUAAAUAAUGAGUCUUAGCUACUAAGUACGCUGCUUUGCUUUUGUAUUAUAAUUGUUUGUAUUAUUAUUUCUCACUGCAGUGCUACUGAUAUUAUUCUUCACCUUGUGUACUAUCUACCCAGCUAGAGAACUGACAUCCCUACAGUAAUGCUGAGGCUCUUCUACUGAAAAGUCCAGCCAGAGUUAGCAGCAUUGAGGCUUUAGCAGCCUUUCAGCUCUGAGCUACUUUCUCAUAAGAGAUUAAUCCUAGAAGGAGGCUACAGUUCGUGCAGAGCAUCAGAUGCACCAGCCUUGAGUGGUAAGUCACUGCUAAUUUUCGCUCGUAUUUGGUUAGGACUGUAUUCCUCUAUGAAAGUACCUCUACAAAAGCUGUAGGCUUAUAUUGCCACUUAGUGUUGCAAUUUAAACGUUCCCACAGCUGGAAGGGAACAAUCAGAGCAAAUUAUUAUUACCCUAAAGUUCAUUCUCUGGCAGACACUUGGUUUUUCUUGAAAGAAAAGAAAACUCACCAGGUAUGUGGGAGAUGUGAAGGCAUCCUGACUGUGAGUCAAAGCUGUUCUCCAGAGAAAACGCUUUCUUUGUUCCUAUAACUGAGGGGUGCUGUAUGUAUCCAAAACUAACAAGUGGGAUACACUUUCAGAAACUGGAUUUUGCAAAGUUAAAAUGCACAGGUAAUGAAUACUCUGUUUCCUAUGCUAAGAAGGCUUCUUAGAGCUUGCUGGAUUUCCUCCUUUCUGCCUUUGACAGUGGACUUACCUCAUUUGACCUUGCUCUGAAUCAGUAUUUCUAUCUUUGCUUAGACAACAUCUUUCAGAAGUCAAAACAAUAAUAUCCUGGACUUUGUAUAAUAAAGUACUUCAGCAGUCAUAUCAGUAAAAAAAGGUGAAAUGUGGGCAAUGUUUAGACAUGGUUUCUGAUUUGUGAGAUAGUGCCUGCUGAAUAUCAGGUAACGUCAGCAUUUAGCCUCUAGGGUGCUGAUUUUUAAUCAGAGGGGAGAGUCCUGAAGUUGUUGGAUCAUAGGGACUGGACCACACGUGUUCCUUAUUCUUUUACUGAUUCUGGUAUCGAGGGUAGAAGGCAUUAAAAUGUUAUGCUGCCCUUUCUAUGCUUGUACAUACUGAUAUUCUCCUUUAUUUCCUUGGAAAAUAGCUUGGUUUCCUCAGAAUAAUUCAUCAGCUAAUUUUGCUUCCAGGUGCAGGAAGAAACCCGCUGGGGUGAGAAUGGCUUGCCCUUGGCUUAUUAACCAGCUUCGUGCACUUCAGUUUGUAUAUCUUGUGCUCCUAGAGUGCAGCUGAAAUUCACUUAGGGGUCUAUUGCUAAAAGCCUACAAUUCACGUGGAAGCUAAUGCUUAAAGUCUAAAGCUUCCACACUUUCUCCUCUUAUAUUUGCUCAAAAAAAGUAUCAAAAGGGUGGAGGAGCCCUCAGGGGCUUAGCAUGACAAGGCCUCCCAGCCCUGACAGCUGACAGUGGAGAUAUGGAGAUCCAGAAGAGCCUGGGGUGACUUUGCUCCAACAUACUUCAUCUCCGCCAUGGACUGUGAGGAUCUUGCUAGAGUUGCAAAAUGAGUAUGAUUCACAUGAUGGGGUAUCAUGUAGAUGAAUGAAAAAAAAUCAUUUUGCUCCAAAUGACUGUAUUUCCUUUAAGAGCUUUAAGUUUUGGAAUUGACCACAGUAUUUGAACUUUACCCUCAUCUGCAGGCACUUCUGCAGUGUUUUGUCUACUGUUCAGUCAUUGCUUUCUUGAGGAGGAGGAGUUUUAAUCUGCAGAGCACUGGCAUCCAAUGAAACUUGAAGUGCUGUUCCAGAUCAAAAGCUGCUUGAUGAAAUCAUAUGCAUUGCGGUGAUAUUUUGUCAUAUUGUGGAGUGAAAACAGUGAAUCACACACUUCUUUCUUUGCAGAUUUCACAGAGAACCUCGGUCCAAGCACUUGAAGCUGCUGGGCUUAUGACAAGUUUUAUUGCUAAACUUGAUCACUUUCUCAGUACACUCUCAAGUACUCCUGAUCUUGAGCAGGCAGUGUUUGAAUGGCAUCCACUUCUCCCCUGGUACAGGAAACAGUGACUCAGUACUCAAACACAGAGGCUUACUUUGGCAGGGAGACGGUCCCAGCUCUCACCUCUGCUCAACUACUCCAGUUCUCUUGUGAUAAGGACUGGGAUGCUGCCAAUUGCUGAAGAGAUGGAAGUGAUCUUGUGUCAGAGAAGCAGGUCCUUUUUUUAGCAGCUACCUUUCUUUGCUACCUGUACUGCUAUUAUGCAGUUCCCCUGAGCAAUGUGAUGGUGUGGAGUGGUUCACCCUGCACUUGAAGGUUAUGGAGGAAGUGAGCAGUCAAAAAAGAUGGCUUUUAUAGACUUAUGGAAGGUUACCACUGUGUUUCCUUGUUUUUUACGAGCAGAUCUUGUAGAGAGUGAAUCAUGUGAUAUGCUGGCAAGUGAGACCUUCACAACAAGUUGCGUUAAUGCAGACAUUUCCCCAGACUGGGAGUGAAGCCUUGGAGCAAGACAGCAAUGCAGGCUGGCCAGGACAUGGUGGGGUACUGCUCAGUAACAGAGAUCUCCAUUGUACCUGGUGCUACUAGCUGUCAGUCAGCAAGGUGACCCUAAUGGGAACAGGGUGGGCAGGGCUGCGCUGCUGUUGGCAGGGCUAGGAAAGAUUUUUGGGGAGCAUGUUGGGGUGGAUUUACGUGCUAGUCCUGAUGUGUUGUCUUUUCCUGCUGCUUUGGUUUCUGGUGCUGGAAACCUUGCAUGUUGUAUUAGACUGAGAUCAAGUGGAGCCUCAUUAAACAAACCCAACUAAAUUAGCACUAAUGAUGUGUUGUGGUAGAAUUAGUGCGGGAGGUCCUGGACCUGGUCAGGUGGAAAUCAGAAGGCAUUGCUGAUGUUCUUCAUUGCUAAAGCUGAAGCAGUUUGAUGCUGUUGUGCUGUGCUGGAGCAGUGCAAAACAAACAGUUAAGAGUUUCCAGAAAGGGUUGUUUGGGGGAGUGCUCUAAAGCAGCAUACUCUCAAGUCUUCCUUUCAUAGCUUUUUUUUUUUUUAAGUCUACUUUACAUUUUUAUUCUCCUAGCUUUUAUGAUCACAUUGAUUUAUACAUAAAGUUAUCGCUCUUAGUGGUUACGCAAACCACUCCUGCAACCUUGCCAUUAACAUAUUACCAUGGUGACAUUCUUAUCACCAUUUAACCUUGCAGUUCAUUACUAAGCAAAUCCCAUUCCAGUGUGAUUUCCAGGUCAGGACAAAAAGCCCAAACAAAUGAGUCUGAUUUUCCUUUUCAGGCACCAAGUGAUUUUUUUCAGGAAACGGACUCAAUGUUGCACAUCCAUCAUGCACUUACGUCAGGCAAACUUUUCAGACCCACAUUCUUUUGUUUCCACAGAAUCAUAGAAUCACCAAGUUUGGAAAUAACUUCCAGGAUUAUCUAGUCCAACUGUCCAUCUACCACUACUAACCCUAACCCAUGUCCCUUAGUACAACAUCUAAAUGUUUCUUGAGCACUUCCAGUGAGGGUGACUCCACCUCCCUAUGCAGCCUGUCCAGCACCUGACCAUUCCUCCCCCAGCAACUGCAAUGGGCUUUGUGGGUGCAGGGGUCCACGUUGUUCUUAGCAGAGAGAGCAGCUCCCCCUUUUCUUAAUUUGGGGAAGCUUGUGGGAAAGCUUCCAGGAAGCAGUGCUGAUCCUAAUAUCAUCUUGCUGCUACAGUGCAAUUAAGAGCCAUUAAUUUUCCUUCUGCCGGUUGUGUAAUUGCACUGCAGGGUGUUCUGAAUGCUGUGUGUGAAUGAGUCUGCAAUUGGAAAUAAUGAAGGUUAGAACCUUCUUGCAUGACUUAAUGAUCAAAUUAGUUCAUUUGACCCAGAAAACAUCUGCGGUGGCACCAAGCUCCGCGUUAGGAAAAAGACCACAGGUUAAGGGUGCCGCUCAGCCCUGUUACUUGAAGAGGGGACCGCAGUGCCCUCCGAGCUGCUCUGAGGCGUGGGUGCCCCUGGUAGGCAGGGUCUCGUUUGGCUCUGGCUGACAGCCCUUCUCCAGUCUUCCUGACACCAGCCUCCAGCUGGGACGCUGACAGAAGGUGGCUGGCAGGGCUCACAGCCCUCACAGGGGACGCCAGCUCUUGCGGGGGGCCGUCAGCAGAAGGCUGGCGUGCACCCAGCUCCGCUGAGAGCCUUCACGGAGAGGCCAGGGCACGGCAGGACUCACCCCAGCCUCUCCUCGCUCACUUGGCGCCACCUACUGGGCUGGUUGACACGUGGGAUUUCUGCUAUUAGGCAGCUAGUGAGGGGCGCAGUCCGGGGUUGGGCACGGCUCUCUGAAGGGCCACGGGGUGAGGCAGCCUUGGGGGGGGUGGCUCGGGUGUCAGUCGUGUCACAGCCCCCGGGCGCGGUACCCGGGCCGCCGGGGGGCGCCGUCGUCGCGGCCGUGCCGGGCAGCGUCUCCGCCAAUUGUUUCCCCGCCCGCCUUCUAGCCCCGCCCCUCUUUGUUGCGGCCGCCAAUAGGAGCGCGCUGAAGGCGGGCGGCAGGCCCGUAGCGUGGUAACGGCGGGGCGGCAUGGAGCGGCGAACCCGCAGAGCGGCCGGGGCCGGGCCGGGGCGCCCGGGCCGUGGGACUCGGGGUGUCGCGCGGGGGGCGGGUACCUGCCGUUAGGGCCGGGGCCUCGGCGCGCGCGAACGCACGUUUAAACCCAUCUCUAUUGACGGAGGGGGGCGGCGGGGCCCGGUCGCCCCCCGCCCGGGGCAUGGCG